rnacentral:rRNA from 1 species
UGGGGAAUUUUGGACAAUGGGCGAAAGCCUGAUCCAGCCAUUCCGCGUGCAGGAUGAAGGCCCUCGGGUUGUAAACUGCUUUUGUACGGAACGAAAAAGCUCCGGCUAAUACCUGGAGUCCAUGACGGUACCGUAAGAAUAAGCACCGGCUAACUACGUGCCAGCAGCCGCGGUAAUACGUAGGGUGCAAGCGUUAAUCGGAAUUACUGGGCGUAAAGCGUGCGCAGGCGGUUUUGUAAGACAGAGGUGAAAUCCCCGGGCUCAACCUGGGAACUGCCUUUGUGACUGCAAGGCUGGAGUGCGGCAGAGGGGGAUGGAAUUCCGCGUGUAGCAGUGAAAUGCGUAGAUAUGCGGAGGAACACCGAUGGCGAAGGCAAUCCCCUGGGCCUGCACUGACGCUCAUGCACGAAAGCGUGGGGAGCAAACA